CAGUCGCCACGGUAAUGCGAAGGGGGCUAGCGUUGCUCGGAAUGACUGGGCGUAAAGGGCGCGUAGGCGGUUUUGACAGUCAGAUGUGAAAUUCCUGGGCUUAACCUGGGGGCUGCAUUUGAGACGUCAAGACUAGAGUGUGAGAGAGGGUUGUGGAAUUCCCAGUGUAGAGGUGAAAUUCGUAGAUAUUGGGAAGAACACCGGUGGCGAAGGCGGCAACCUGGCUCAUUACUGACGCUGAGGCGCGAAAGCGUGGGGAGCAAACAGGAUUAGAUACCCCCGUAGUCCCUGUCUCUUAUAC
rnacentral:rRNA from 1 species